rnacentral:rRNA from 1 species
CGCUGGCGGUAUGUUUAACACAUGCAAGUCGAACGAAAGCUUUAUGCUUUAGUGGCGAACGGGUGCGUAAUACGUGAGAAUCUGCCCUUAGGAGGAGAAUAACUUCUGGAAACGGUUGCUAAGUCUCCAUAUGCCGAGAGGUAAAAUAGUUUAUACUGCCUAGGGAUGAGCUCACGCCUGAUUAGCUUGUUGGUAAGGUAAUGGCUUACCAAGGCCACGAUCAGUAGCUGGUUUGAGAGAACGAUCAGCCACACUGGGACUGAGACACGGCCCAGACUCCUCCGGGAGGCAGCAGUGAGGAAUUUUCCGCAAUGGGCGAAAGCCUGACGGAGCAAUACCGCGUGAGGGAUGAAGGAUUUUGGUCUGUAAACCUCUUUUCUCAAGAAAGAAGUUCUGACGGUACUUGAGGAAUAAGCAUCGGCUAACUCCGUGCCAGCAGCCGCGGUAAUACGGGGGAUGCAAGCGUUAUCCGGAAUCAUUGGGCGUAAAGCGCCUGUAGGUUGUUUAAUAAGUCUGUUGUUAAAGACUAGGGCUCAACCCUAGGAAAGCAAUGGAAACUACUAGACUUGAGUAUGAUAGGGGUAGAGGGAAUUUCUAGUGUAGC